GAUGAACGCUAGCGGCAGGCUUAACACAUGCAAGUCGAGGGGCAGCACGGACUUCGGUCUGGUGGCGACCGGCAAACGGGUGCGGAACACGUACGCAACAUACCCCUAUCUGGAGAUAGCCUUCUGAAAAGGAGAUUAAUACCCCAUAGUAUAGUUACCAGGCAUCUGGUUGAUUAUUAAAGAUUUAUUGGAUAGGGAUU
rnacentral:rRNA from 1 species